GCCAGGCGUGGUGGCUCACGCCUGUAAUCCCAGCACAUUGGGAGGCCGAGGCGGGUGGAUCACCUGAGGUCAGGAGUUCCAGACCAGCCUGGCCAACAUGGUGAAACCCCGUCUCUA
rfam:Homo sapiens chromosome X, GRCh38 reference primary assembly.